AUUGAACGCUGGCGGCAUGCUUUACACAUGCAAGUCGAACGGUAACAGGCCUUCGGGUGCUGACGAGUGGCGAACGGGUGAGUAAUGCAUCGGAACGUACCCAGAGGUGGGGGAUAACGCAGCGAAAGCUGUGCUAAUACCGCCUGUGAUCUGAGGAUGAAAGCGGGGGACCGCGCAGCAAUGUUUGGCCUCGCGCCUUUGUAGCGGCCGAUGUCGGAUUAGCUAGUUGGUGGGGUAAAGGCCUACCAAGGCGACGAUCCGUAGCUGGUCUGAGAGGACGACCAGCCACACUGGGACUGAGACACGGCCCAGACUCCUACGGGAGGCAGCAGUGGGGAAUUUUGGACAAUGGGCGCAAGCCUGAUCCAGCAAUGCCGCGUGCGGGAAGAAGGCCUUCGGGUUGUAAACCGCUUUUGGCAGGAACGAAACGGUGUCCGCUAAUACCGGGCGCUAAUGACGGUACCUGCAGAAUAAGCACCGGCUAACUACGUG
rnacentral:rRNA from 1 species